AUUGAACGCUGGCGGCAGGCCUAACACAUGCAAGUCGAGCGAGCGGCGGACGGGUGAUUUAUGUCUGGGAAACUGCCUGAUGGAGGGGGAUAACUACUGGAAACGGUAGCUACUACCGCAUACAAUCAGAUGUGCCCAGAUGGGAGUGGGUAGUGGGUGGGGUAACGGCUCACCUAGGCGACGAUCCGUAGCUGGGCUGAGAGGAUGACCAGCAACACGGGAACGGAGACACGGUCCAGACUCCUACGGGAGGCAGCAGUGGGGAAUAUUGCACAAUGGGCGGAAGCCUGAUGCAGCCAUGCCGCGUGUGUGAAGAAGGUCUUCGGCGUGUAAAGCACUUUCAGCGAGGAGGCGGUACUCGCAGAAGAAGCACCGGCUAACUCCGUGCCAGCAGCCGCGGUAAUAC
rnacentral:rRNA from 1 species